UACGUAGGGAGCAAGCGUUAUCCGGAUUUACUGGGUGUAAAGGGCGCGCAGGCGGGCCGGCAAGUUGGAAGUGAAACCUAUGGGCUUAACCCAUAAACUGCUUUCAAAACUGCUGGUCUUGAGUGAUGGAGAGGCAGGCGGAAUUCCGUGUGUAGCGGUGAAAUGCGUAGAUAUACGGAGGAACACCAGUGGCGAAGGCGGCCUGCUGGACAUUAACUGACGCUGAGGCGCGAAAGCGUGGGGAGCAAACAGG
rnacentral:rRNA from 1 species